GGAAGGUGGUGUAAACAGGCAGGGAGGAGACGGCCACCCCAGCCAAGGAGACACACUGGGACAGAUCUUUCUAUCACUGCCCUCAGUAGGAACCAGGCCUGGCCACCUUGAUCCCAGACAUCCAGCCUCCAGAACUGGAGACAAGUGCUUAAAAUAGCAUCAACAUGAAAUUAAUCUUAAUGAUGGCUUGGAUUGAAGAGCAUGGAGAGAAUAAAAGAACCGAGGAAGAGAGAAGGUUGGGUUGGACAAGCUGGCUGCUGUCAGAGCACAGGGGUCUGCUCCAUUCCAGCAAGCCGUCUCAAAGGUCAGCCCCCUCUCCAGCCGGGAGGCACACAGCGCUUCUGCCACACGCUAAGCUCACUGAAGUCAACACUGGAUCUCGAUUAUUGAGUUACGUGUGGACGUCCCCAACAGACUGUUAACUCCUCGCAAGUUAAGGACUGUCUCUUAUUUAUCCCUAUAUGCUUACACACAGCCUAGGGGUGGGUACCCAAGAAAUGUUAGUG